rnacentral:rRNA from 1 species
UACGUAGGGAGCAAGCGUUGUCCGGAAUCAUUGGGCGUAAAGCGCGUGUAGGCGGUUACAUAAGUCUGUUGUGAAAGUCGGGAGGCUCAACCUUCGAAAGCCGAAUGGAUACUGUGUGACUUGAGUACGGAAGAGGAGAGUGGAAUUCCUGGUGGUAAGCGGUGAAAUGCGCAGAUAUCAGGAGGAACACCAACGGCGAAGGCAGCUCUCUGGGACGUUACUGACGCUGAGACGCGAAAGCGUGGGGAGCAAACAGG